rnacentral:rRNA from 1 species
AACGCGAAGAACCUUACCAGCUCUUGACAUGUCCCGUUUGGGCCGGAGAGAUCCGGUUCGUCGGUUCGGCCGGCGGGAACACAGGUGCUGCAUGGCUGUCGUCAGCUCGUGCCGUGAGGUGUUGGGUUAAGUCCCGCAACGAGCGCAACCCUUACUCAUAGUUGCUACCCGCAAGGGAGAACUCUAUGAGGACUGCUCCGGAUAACGGAGAGGAAGGUGGGGAUGAGGUCAAGUCAGCAUGGCCUUUAUGUCCAGGGCUACACACGUGUUACAAUGCGCGCCACAAAGCGUCGCGAACCCGCGAGGGGGAGCUAAUCGCAAAAAAGCGCGCUCAGUUCGGAUUGCAGUCUGCAACUCGACUGCAUGAAGCCGGAAUCGCUAGUAAUGGCGCAUCAGAACGGCGCCGUGAAUACGUUCCCGGGACCUUGUACACACCGCAUAC